CGGGAACAAGACAAGGAUGUCUGCUUUUCACUUCCAUUCAACCUUUUACUGGAGGUUCUAGCCAGGCAAUUAGUCAUUCACAUCUGUCGUUACGGCAUGCUCAGCCUCAGGAGAAUUGAGCUGCCCUGUUUUUUCCAUUUGAACAUCCUGAGUGGAGCAGAGAAGGCAACUAACAUCUGUUGAGCAACUCUUGUGUGCCAGAGCUGGAUAAGAGUUUGCUUGGGGCUCAGGAUGCAGGCCUCAGGAGUUUCUCUCACGCUCGGCCAGCUCUGUUGUUGAUGACUAUUACCCUUUGGUUACCUGAAGCAACAUGAAAUUUUCUGAGAGCAUCUUAUAAAGCAUAUCCUUCGCCUCCUUUGCUGGAAUCAUUGCAAAGUCUUCUACCUGCUUCUGCUCCAGGUGCUUCUUUUGCAAAACUAGACGAAAUAUUCUGGCACAGCGAGACCCAAAUCUGGAAAGGAAUGAAGACAGUAAAUAGCAGGCUUAUCUCCUAGUCACACACGGUGGUGGCUGUUUCCAUGUGUGGAGCCAGGACCAGUGGGGGACAGCAAUCAGCGAACUCUUUCACAGCUCCAGACGGACUGCGGACGGUGCUGCUAAUCACAAGGCAGUCACUGACUGCGGACACACCGAGGGCCUCACUUCCCGCCUGAUAUCACCUGGUCCAUCCUAUUGGCCACUGCGCUGACAAUGGCUUGGUCUCGGAAGUGCUGGUGGAAUCUGUCAAGGUUGGCCUGCCAAUAAAUGCCAUCAUCUGGAAUGGGCUGAGGAGGAGAAAAGGAUUAGCAAGAAGCAUCUACAUGCAGUGAAGAGUUUUCUGGUGAGGAGCUUAAAUGGAACUGGCCACCACUUCUUUUCCUUUACAAUAGCAACAAAUUGGUUGCUGAGAAAUCAUCCAGUCAUGUGGACCAGUGCCUUAAUAAAUUCAGUCUCACUUCAAACAGA